rnacentral:rRNA from 1 species
UACGAAGGGGGCUAGCGUUGUUCGGAAUUACGGGGCGUAAAGCGCGCGUAGGCGGUUUUGCAAGCCAGAGGUGAAAUGCCUGAGCUCAACUUAGGAAUUGCCUUUGGGACUGUGAGGCUUUGAGGACUGGAGAGGUGAGUGGAAUUCCCAGUGUAGAGGUGAAAUUCGUAGAUAUUGGGAAGAACACCGGUGGCGAAGGCGGCUCACUGGCCAGUUUCUGACGCUGUAGCGCGAAAGCGUGGAGAUCAAACAGG